ACGGAAGGCAGCAGUGGGGAAUAUUGGGCAAUGGGCGAAAGCCUGACCCAGCAACGCUGCGUGAAGGAAGAAGGCCUUCGGGUCGUAAACUUCUUUUACCAGGGACGAAGGACGUGACGGUACCUGGAGAAAAAGCAACGGCUAACUACGUGCCAGCAGCCGCGGUAAUACGUAGGUUGCAAGCGUUGUCCGGAUUUACUGGGUGUAAAGGGCGUGUAGGCGGAGCUGCAAGUCAGAUGCGAAAUCCCGGGGCUCAACCCCGGAACUGCAUUUGAAACUGUCUCCCUUGAGUAUCGGAGAGGCAAGCGGAAUUCCUAGUGUAGCGGUGAAAUGCGUAGAUAUUAGGAGGAACACCAGUGGCGAAGGCGGCUUGCUGGACGACAACUGACGCUGAGGCGCGAAAGCGUGGGGAGCAAACAGGAUUAGAUACCCUGGUA
rnacentral:rRNA from 1 species